GGAGUAUGCUGGCGUUGGCCAAAAUGUUCAUUCCAAUUUUUCUGUACCAUCUUACAGAAAAACCCGAACGAACUUUUUGGCUAACCCAAUAGUAAAUACCC
ensembl:miRNA